rnacentral:lncRNA from 1 species
GGAGAAGCGCCGGGGACCGUGGAGGAAGUCAUCGGCCUGGAUUUCUUUGGAUUUGCAGAUAGGGUUCCAGCAGAACUGGAAGGUGGGCGAGACAGGCCCUGCGCCACCAUUUGAGCAGCGCUGGGAUAUAAAACCAUCUGCUAGCCCUCUCCUUGCACGUCUGGGGCUGGAAAAAGUAGUUCUGGGACUGGGUACGGUGCUGGAAGGGGUACUAGGCAGGAUGAAACGACGGGGCCCACGACGCUCCAAAAGGAAGCCUUCUGGACAUAUUUCCUGCCUAAGUGCUCGCUCUGGGGUGGCAGAGGGGUCCACCCAAAAUCAGACAGAGCUAGGCUAGGCUGAGCCCUUCAGGAGCUCACAGUCUCCUGUAGUUUCCAAACCCUAACACAAUUAACCAAGGAAUGUAAAUGUCUAUAGCAGUUGUUUUAGAAGUUCCUUGAGAACAAAAAGGGAAGUUAUUAAAUCUGAAGGAGUGGAUCUGGAAAGGUAAAAGGAAAGCUGCAUAGGUUUUCACUAGGCAGGAAACAGUGGCAGGGCAUUCAUUUAAAAGGCAUUCCAUUCCAGGCAGGAGCAAGGCCAAGAAAGCAUAGAGGUGAAGAAACUUUAAGGUCACAUAACAAAGGGCCUUGAACUGAAACCAUGCAAAAGAGUUUGUUGUGUAAACCCAAGGUCAAGCUACAAGGCAAACACCGUUUUCUCAACACAUCAAUAUACCCUCUUUAAAAAUGAGCUUUUCCUUGGAACUAUUCCUUUAAGAUAUCUGUCUUCUGAUUAUAUGGAGGUGGUGUAGGCCAAGACUCGGAAACAUGCAGUAUUGAUUUUGGUACAAGAAACAACUCUAGGUACUCUGAGGAGUUUGGCACAGAGGUUCAAAAAAUGAGCCUUAGUUCUCAGUAAGUCUUCACACUACAGCUUUUCUUUUUUAAUAUUUGUUUUACUGUGCCAGACUCUACAGCUCUGUCCUCAAAGAGCACAUAAUCUUUAGGGAAACUUACAGGAGAACAGCAAGGUCAGGAGAACUACAAGUAGUUCCUUAUAUCUUGAUGACAGACCCAGAUACAGAUUUUAUUCCUGCCAUUUACUAGCUAUUUGAUACCGGAGAUGACGUUUAACUUUCUUUGCUGCUUCAUCUACAAAAGGGGGGUAAUUAUACUAAUACCUAUGAAAGAGGGGCAUUUUCAGGCCUAAAUAACAUAGCAUAUGUAAAGCCCUUAGAGUUUUGUCAAUGCUCCUACAGGAAUACUGUAGUUGAAGAAGUUGGGAUUAUUACUCAGGGAGGGAGAACAUGCACUAUGGGGAGCCAUGAAGUGUCUUAGGUAAAUGGUAUUAGAAAGCACUUAAAGGAUUUGGGCUUUGAUUAGGUGAUUUGGGAAAGACUCCGUGGAAAGAGGUGGGAAGGGUUGCUCAAGAUUAAGUGCCUUCAGGAAGUGGAGACAGUUCAGUGAUUAUCUUAUCUAGGAGGAUGGCAGGCUAAAAGACAAGCCUAAAGCUGUAACUGACAAGCAUUAGUCAUCCAUAUCAUGGAGAGAGGGGAAUGUUUGAUUUUGAAAGACAAAACAAAUUAAAGAUCUAAUUGGCUUUUAUUUGCAAUUCCAGAAUAGGCAAAACUUCAUUCUCUAAAAUAGAAUCUGUUCCAAUGAGCUAAGCAGAGGAGGUUGGCUUUAUAGGCAGAAAAAAGCUAGAGAACAGAAAUAAGGAAUGAGAAGCAGAUGAGUUGUUUCAAAGUUACUUUCCUUAUAGGGUUAAAACAGGGGAACUUUCUUAGCAUACCAGCUCAGAUAAACUUGGCCCCUUCUGAUUGGGUGCUAUGAAUUUCCUGCUUUUUGGAAAACUGGCUGGUUUCAGAGUUGCUUUUGAUUAUGUGGCAAUACGCAUGAGGGACCAUUCUGCUUUGGUCUGGUCUGCCGGAGCCUAGUGCAGCAGAUUAGUCCAAAACUAAGCCCAAAGAAGGUAUAAUGGAAACCCCUGCUUGAAGCCAGUGGAUCAGAAGUGCUAGA